GGCAUGGUGAUGGGAUUAUCUGUGCCCUGUCUCAAAGCUGUUACACAAGAUUGUGCUGCAGACAUGGCUGGCUGGCGGUCACCCUCAUAGAAGUAAGUGGGUCAGGUUAGUGCCCAGGUAAACUCUUGCCCCGAUGCUCAGUGGAUGGGAAUUGCAGGAUUCUUUUGGGUCUUACAGUCGUACAAUAGAGAGGUCCUUAGAGGUCAUGCAGUCCACUCCUGCCAUGUUUAGAUCAAGAAGCUGAUGCCCAGAGAAGGGACGAAACUUGCCCAGAGUUCCCUGUGCUGUGGCGAUCUUGGGCACCCUCUGAAAUCCACACCUUGUAAUGAGGUCUGUUGAGUAAGAAGUGUAGCUGAAACAGGUCUUGGUUGCCAGGGACAGUGUUAGGAAGGUAUUAGGUAAAACCCCAGCCUAAUCUCCUGGAACUCUGGGACAACCCUGCAGAUAGGCCUUGCUAAACAGCUGUAGGAAGUGUUGGGAGAGUGGUGUGCUGAGGCUCCUUUUCUAGGCCUUCCCUGUUUCAAUGAUCUUUGUGGCUGACACCUUGGGAGUUCUACAAGAACAAGAUAAGCAUACACGCUGAGAUUGGCACCUCCUAGUAGCACUUCCAAGAAUUGCCUGCCAGCUGAUUCCCACGGGAGAAGUGGCCUGGCUUCAGAUUUGAGUAAUCACCGUGGCCAGUGACGCAGUGUGUGAUGUGUGUGUCCUUGUGCAUGCACACACAUGCCACAUGCACACAUGCAUGUGUAGAGCUGUUAGUCUUUGGGACGGCUGUGUCCCCACAUCCUGUCUGUGCCAAAUCAUAGAGUUACUUGGCCAGAGUCUGUGGGUGCGAUUUUGUAGCCUAGUCUUGGGAGUCCCCUCUCUUGUGCUUUUGCUUGGGCCCUUCUGCCCAGCUGUACUCUUGUCUCCCUUUUCUCCACAGAUCGAAAUUCGGGCUCAUGUUGAAGUGUCAGCUUGAAUCUUCCUUUGGCUCUUCUGUGAAGUCCCCAGCCCCAGCCCAGUCCACAGUUCUACUGUUCUCACUCUUUUGGAUGCCAAGAGCUUUCUUCUCUGUCAACCACAUGGGGGAAAAGACUGAGAUUCUGCUCAGGCAAGACAUCUGACUUGCGCAGCAAGCGGCUCUAUGUUGCAAUCUCCCUGUGAAAUCACUUCGCAAGGAGAUCCAGGAGGAGGAAGUGAGAGGGGCUGAGGAGCGAGGGGUAACAUCCCCGCCUUUGUCCUUUAACGGCUUUUGGAAGGGACGACAUCGCUCAAAGGCAGACAUCCCUAAUGAACUCCCAAGAAUGCAGUCCUUCUCAGAAGAGCAAUCGGAUAGCCUGCCAGGACUAAGCUACCCAGGUUUGGUUCAGGGCUGAAGCUGUUUGCCAGUCAUGGAGAGUAAAUGCUCACAAAUCAUCUGGGAGGUACGGACAAGAGAAGCAAGGUCCGGGGAAGCUGACUUGCCUAAGACUUGGGAGGUGCUGACAUUGUGGCUGGUCCAGGGACCACACCUUGAGAACCUUUCCUGCUGGCAUCUAUCCAGAGUGACUGUGGAAAGACAAUAAGGCUCGAAGCCUCGAGAAAAGAACUGGUCCCGGUCCCUCAGGAUGGUUGUCUGGCCCACUGGGUCUCCUGGAGAGUAUCAUUCAUGAUCCUGGUGCCCCCAGGACCCUGUCCAGAAAGGUGAACUGGUGUUGUUGAGGACGGACCCCUGGCACCCGGCUUGGUUUUCCUGAGUGAGGCCUUCUGUUGUCACAGGUCGUUGUUAUCGGUCAUAGUUUUCAUUGACUACGGAGUCAAACUGUAUUCCUUUCCUGAACUGACAGAGCAUGACUGGUAAGGGUCAGCUUUGAGUCUGGUCUUUGCUUUUUUCCUCCUUUUCUUUGAGUGCGAGCACUUGAUUGACAUCCUUGUCUGGUUCUUAGGUGAGAGGCUAUUUGUUUCUAUUUGUUGGGCUCCCCUUGUUUCCCCUGCUAAAAUACAUUUUGUUUUUCUGAAAUAAUAGAAAGACUAAUUUAUGUAUUUUUAAAACUAGGGACGUUAGCUGAAUUCAUCUGUGGACGCAAAUGGAAGGAAAGGUGGUUUCCCCACUGGUUUCUCUGCUCCCUAACGUGAAUUGUGGGAAGUUGAAAGUCUGGGUUGUUGCUUCCUCUGGUAACAUUUCCCAUCUCCCUAAAUCAUGCCACAGAUGUGAAGUUUCAGUUUGAUUUGGAUUCUGGUUUUAUGCUUACAGAGGUACAUGAAGACCCUGGCUUCGUAAAUCUUUUUUGUUUUUCCACUUUUAUUUUUAAAUGUAGCUAGGCCCAAAGUUUAUGUCCAUUUAGCUGACCUUUUCAAUAGUAAGAGCUGUUUUAUAAGGCAGCAGAAGUGAAAGUUAUCAGCAAGGCUGCUUAAUGUAAAGUAUUUAUGAAUGAACGUGCAAAAACCAAUCUGGGGGUGUAAAACGUGGGGCUGUAGUCAGGCAGAACUGCUUGCGACUUGAGCCUUCUUUGCAGUCAAGCAUAAUUCAUGCUGCUGUUAGCCCUUAAAACAGGAAAUAAUAUACCCAUUUAACUUAAUCACAAUUUAUAUUACAUGUGCAUAUUUCUAAACAAAUGUUGUAGAUGGAGAGUUUGGUAGCAAUAAUAUUUAUGAAUUACACUUUUAGUUAGCAAAGGAAAUGUGUGACCUCUUACAUUUGGUUUGACAUUUGAAUUUGGUGUUCAGUAUAUUUGACAGGGGUGAUGGAUUCUCAUUAGCUCCACGUAUAAACAGGAAAUGCUUCCUUGGUGAACAGUUAUUAAUGUGGGACAUCCCUGAAUUUGAAUGUUUAGUUGCUUUUUCUGCUGGAGACUGUGAAACUUGCUUCAGGUCUGUCUUUAAAAAAACAAAAAACAGAAAACAAAACCCAAAAAGUAAAAAACCAGGUUUUAAUUUUGUGUCUUGCAAACCUGCCCAGCAUACAAAUUUAUCCAACAUCCAAGCUCUGAGAAAUGGGAAAUGGUUGACAAACUGGUGGCAAGUGAGGUCACCGAGGUCUGAGAGACAAGGAGCAGCCCCGGCUGCAGACACCCCGCCCCUGCCUUGUGGAUUUUGCUCGCCUUAAUUUCUAAAUAAGAUAACCUAUAGGAAUUAGAACGCGACGUGGGGGCACAUUUGAGUAAGCUCGUACUUAACCUUUACUCAUACCAGGAUUAAAACAGUUCGUGCAAAACGGGAAUCAGAACACGUUUGUGAUGUGGCUUAAGGCAGCAAUCUCAUUGUCAAUUUUUAGCACUCACUUGGUAUUCUGCCAUGAUACCAGGAAAUGGAAGCUGGAGGAAGGGUGUGGGGAGCUAGGAGAGACCUCUCAUCUCGGACGGGAACGAGGGGAAACCAGGCCAGUGGGCUGGUGUCUGCCGUGGGCUGGGGUGGGGGGGGGACCCUGUGCUCAGCCCCCUCUGAGGAAUGCUUAGAAUCUAAUUAGAAGUUAGUGAGAAACCCGGAAAGUGAAGCUGGCAGGCCCUUAAUCUGAAUUUCAGGUCUUCAGAAGGAGAAAGUAGCGUUUUUAUUGUUGGAGGUCAAAGUUUAAAUUUAGUUUAUAUCAGAUUACCAAAAUACGCUUUUGGUAAGGUUAGAUUCUCAUGCUCGGAGAGUCGGAGUGUAAUGAAAGCAAACAGGGCCAGAGAUAAUCCCAUUACAGAUGAACUCUUCACUCGAAGCUCAGCCAUUUGGGAACCAUAAUAACACCAUCUCAGCAAGAAGAUAAAGGCCAAGAGCGGGCAGGGCUGCGAAGGAACCUCGCUGACCAUCCUGUUUAACAUAUCCCCUUCCCCUCCUGGCACGCCCUGCCCUUGAGUUGGUUAGUUUUUCUUCUGCUUCCCCUACUAAAAUUUAAGACCCCCGAGGGUAGAGAUUUUUGUCUAUUUUAUUCACUGCUCUGUACUCACCAAGUAGAGCACAGCCUGCCUCCUACGAAGCACUCACCAAAUAUUUGAUGCAUGAAUGCGUGAAGAAACCUCGUUUCCUUUGAGCAGAAAGCGAAGGUUUUUAAAAUCAAAGAUUUUUAAACUAAAGUAGGGGGCCAGCCUCUCUUUGGAUUUUAGGAGUAGCAGUG